CGUGUCCCACUCCAUCUUUUUUUAAUUUUCCAGUGGAAAAAGCCAGGACUACUCAGCUUUUGCAAGUUGUUUCUUCAGAGGGUUCAGGUUUCGGUAAACAAUUGCUCAAAACUAAAAGGUUAUAUUUAUCCACGAGCUCCAGGAACCAGAUGUGGGAUCGAGGGGCUGUGCUGCACCAGCUUCCUGCCUUCCUGCAAACACCGGGUCCACCUGCCCUGCACAGAGCAGGACACAGCCUGGAGAGCCAGGAAACUGUGCAAGGUCAGCACAGCCGGGGGAGGGGACAGGGAAAAACGUGUCACCUGCCUGGUCCUGCACAGGGGGCAUUGCUCCCAUGAGCUGGUGAUGUUCAUGGGACAGAGGAGCAAACCGGGGCUUGGAUUUUUGGCAGUUGACUGAAAAAAAAAACACCCCAAAACCUCAACAUAAAAAUGCAGAGUUUCAGUUCAGAAAGAGAUGGUAGUGAGAGAGCAGGGCUUGACCCAUCCAGGGCUACUCUGAGCCAGCCACCCCUCAGGAGAAGGAAGGAACACCUCAGAGCAGCUCUGAGUACAGCACGGGGGGCUCUGCCUCCCCCUCAGCCGUGCAGGGCUCAGGCUCUGCCAGCAGCAUUUGCAGCCUGUGAAUGGCUCCAGAGCUGGGUGAGACACUGAGACACCACGGCUGAGCCCUCACACCAAAGUACAAACUGAAACCACCCUGGCAGUGCCCAAGGCCAGGCUGGAUGGGGCCCUGAGCCACCUGGUCCAGUGGGAGGUGUCCCUGCCAUGGCAGGGGUGGAACUGGAUGAGCUUUACGGUCCCUUCCAACCCAAACCAUUCUGGGAUUCAGGGAUUUAUUUCUUUUCUUGUCAUCUCUGUGCACUUGGCCUCCAACAGUCCAUCCCAGGCUGUCCCUCCCCUGUUCCAGGAGAUAUUCAGGCACAUAAAGCCACUGUAGAUUUCCACAUUUUCCCAUCUCUGACACAGAAGCCUGCAGGCACAAAUCCCCAAAGCUGGGGAAGCUGGGCUGGGGAGAUGAGAGCAGCUCUGCAGGGCUGUGCAGCAGGAGCCACCCCAGCUUCCCAAAGUCACCUCUGCAGGAGGAGAUCCCACUCCAGGCCCACUAUCUCCAGAGCCAUCUCCCAGCUCUGCCAUGGGCAGCACUCAAGUGCUUCCCCCCCUCAAAUUCCACUGCACCUGGGAAAAAUGUAGGAGCUCGUAGGAGAAUCAAUAAAUAUUUAUUGUUUAACCAGCA